ACGCACGCUGGCGGCGUGCCUCAUCCAUGCAAGUAGCACGCUGAAGAGAGGAGCUUGCUCUUCUUGGAUGAGUUGCGAACGGGUGAGUAACGCGUAGGUAACCUGCCUGGUAGCGGGGGAUAACUAUUGGAAACGAUAGCUAAUACCGCAUAAAAUUGAUUAUUGCUUGAUAAUUAAUUGAAAGAUGCAACUGCAUCACUACCAGAUGGACCUGCGUUGUAUUAGCUAGUUGGUGAGGUAACGGCUCACCAAGGCGACGAUACAUAGCCGACCUGAGAGGGUGAUCGGCCACACUGGGACUGAGACACGGCCCAGACUCCUACGGGAGGCAGCAGUAGGGAAUCUUCGGAAAUGGGGGGAACCCUGACCGAGCAACGCCGCGUGAGUGAAGAAGGUUUUCGGAUCGUAAAGCUCUGUUGUAAGAGAAGAACGGGUGUGAGAGUGGAAAGUUCACACUGUGACGGUAUCUUACCAGAAAGGGACGGCUAACUACGUG
rnacentral:rRNA from 1 species